AUUAUUUUGGCAGAUUAGUGCAAUAAAUUUAGAAUUUAUUUAUGUAAAUAAAUUUUACAAAUAAUA
rnacentral:tRNA from 1 species